CAGUAGCCGCGGGAAUACGAAGGGGGCUAGCGUUGCUCGGAAUGACUGGGCGUAAAGGGCGCGUAGGCGGCGUACACAGUCAGACGUGAAAUUCCUGGGCUUAACCUGGGGGCUGCGUUUGAUACGUGUAGGCUAGAGUGGGGAAGAGGGUUGUGGAAUUCCCAGUGUAGAGGUGAAAUUCGUAGAUAUUGGGAAGAACACCGGUGGCGAAGGCGGCUCACUGGACCAUUACUGACGCUGAGGUGCGAAAGCUAGGGGAGCAAACAGGAUUAGAUACCCCCGUAGUCCCUGUCUCUUAUAC
rnacentral:rRNA from 1 species